UCCACGUGGUACGCGUGGCAUUCAUGUCGCUGCCCAGCUCCAUCACAUUGCUCUCAUCUAUCCAUUGAUGAUAAAGAUGAUAAAAGUUCUUUCCUCCACAACCUUAGGCUUUCCAUCCUCUCUUAGUACUGCUUCAAUAAUUUCAGGCUAGAAGGAUAAGUUCAUAUGUUUUGAUUGUUUGUGAGCACCAGAAGCAACUAUGUUAUUGUCUGGUUUUGGAACUGUGGGUAAACGUUUGGGCAUAUCACAGUGCACGACAGAUGGUUUACAUGAAUCCUCACGCAGUUGAGCAGCGAAAAGGAUAUGUAGGCAACGUACAUACUUCAACGUGACAUUGUUGAAGAGUAUGGAUGAAGACUUGACAGAAGUUGCUAAUGACAAUUACCAUCCAUGUGAAACAUGGUUGUGGCCAUUAACGGGAGAGAUAUAUUGACAAGGGAUAUAUGAAAAGGGAGAGAGAAGAGAGAUACAUGCAAAAAAUGAUCAAGAAGAGAAAGACGAGAGAAACUACAUGAUAAAAUUAAAAAAGAAUAUAAACCCAAAACCAAACUCGAAGAGAACAUGUCAUGUAUAUAAUGACUUGCUCUUUCUGACUUUGCUAGGAAUUUUAAGACAUUUUAUACACCUUCAUAUCCUUUUUACCACUAUAUUCAUGCCUUGAUAUAGUAGCUAUGUACCCCUUUGACUCACCAGCUAUGUUUUCCCCUGCAGACUUUCCAUAA